GCUUAGAAUACAUUUUAAAAUGCAAUAAAGUAGAUAGGAUUUUAUUAUGCAAGGGGCAAAGUUGUAUACAACACUCCCCACAGUCUCCCGGAGGCUGUUGAGAGCAAGGAGUGCCUGAACUGCAGCUGGCAGUAUUCAGCUGACCAAGGCAGGGCAGAAGACAGGGCUGCUAGUAUUUAUUCAAGGCAUAACCAGCCCAGGGGCUUCGGCCUGCCAGUCAUCACAAGGCCCAAUGUGGUACACACCCUUCUUCCCAGGUGCCAAGGGGAGGCAGUGGUCGUAGGUGGGACAACACAAAACCACGCGGCUACAGGAGAAGUCAAGUGGCAAGGAUGCUUCCAAGGGGAGGGGCUAUGCCCUGCCUGGGUAUAAAUGGUGUUAAGUGGG